UGACGAGUGGCGGACGGGUGAGUAAUGCUUGGGAACUUGCCUUUGCGAGGGGGAUAACAGUUGGAAACGACUGCUAAUACCGCAUAAUGUCUUCGGACCAAACGGGGCUUCGGCUCCGGCGCAAAGAGAGGCCCAAGUGAGAUUAGCUAGUUGGUAAGGUAACGGCUUACCAAGGCGACGAUCUCUAGCUGUUCUGAGAGGAAGAUCAGCCACACUGGGACUGAGACACGGCCCAGACUCCUACGGGAGGCAGCAGUGGGGAAUAUUGCACAAUGGGGGAAACCCUGAUGCAGCCAUGCCGCGUGUGUGAAGAAGGCCUUCGGGUUGUAAAGCACUUUCAGUUGUGAGGAAAAGUUAGUAGUUAAUACCUGCUAGCCGUGACGUUAACAACAGAAGAAGCACCGGCUAACUCCGUGCCAGCAGCCGCGGUAAUACGGAGGGUGCGAGCGUUAAUCGGAAUUACUGGGCGUAAAGCGCACGCAGGCGGUUUGUUAAGCUAGAUGUGAAAGCCCCGGGCUCAACCUGGGAUGGUCAUUUAGAACUGGCAGACUAGAGUCUUGGAGAGGGGAGUGGAAUUCCAGGUGUAGCGGUGAAAUGCGUAGAUAUCUGGAGGAACAUCAGUGGCGAAGGCGACUCCCUGGCCAAAGACUGACGCUCAUGUGCGAAAGUGUGGGUAGCGAACAGGAUUAGAUACCCUGGUAGUCCACACCGUAAACGCUGUCUACUAGCUGUGUGUGUCUUUAAGACGUGCGUAGCGAAGCUAACGCGCUAAGUAGAC
rnacentral:rRNA from 1 species